UAAAAGAGUCAAGAAACUUAAAAUUAUGGUCUACAUAUCAUAUUGGGUAUUAUAAAGUAGUUUCUAGUCCUUCUAGUGACUUGUUUAUUCAUUGUUAAGAUGAUUGCAGAAAUCAAGGGAUUUUGUACUGUAAAUUAUGCUAGAAUUACAAACUAAUGAUAUGCAGUAAUCUUAGGAAAUCAAUUGAAUUCUUUUCAUAGCUGUUGUACCUUAUCAGUAUGUAUAUCAG
rnacentral:misc_RNA from 1 species